rnacentral:rRNA from 1 species
AACGAACGCUGGCGGCAUGCCUAACACAUGCAAGUCGAACGAGACCUUCGGGUCUAGUGGCGCACGGGUGCGUAACGCGUGGGAAUCUACCCUUGGGUUCGGAAUAACUCAGAGAAAUUUGAGCUAAUACCGGAUGAUGUCGCAAGACCAAAGAUUUAUCGCCCAAGGAUGAGCCCGCGUAGGAUUAGCUUGUUGGUGAGGUAAAAGCUCACCAAGGCGACGAUCCUUAGCUGGUCUGAGAGGAUGAUCAGCCACACUGGGACUGAGACACGGCCCAGACUCCUACGGGAGGCAGCAGUGGGGAAUAUUGGACAAUGGGGGCAACCCUGAUCCAGCAAUGCCGCGUGAGUGAUGAAGGCCUUAGGGUUGUAAAGCUUUUUUACCAGGGACGAUGAUGACGGUACCUGGAGAAUAAGCCCCGGCUAACUUCGUGCCAGCAGCCGCGGUAAU